rnacentral:misc_RNA from 1 species
AGGCAAAAAAAAAAAAAGUUCAAAAAUGUGGAGACAGGUCCGAAAAUUUAGCAGUAACAGCAGCUUCAAUGCGAAAGAGAAGAAAUGGGAUGCUCUGAUCAUCGGCGGUGGUCACAACGGCCUUACAGCUGCCGCGUAUCUCGCUCGUUCCGGUCUCUCUGUUGCCGUUCUCGAGAGGCGCCACAUCAUAGGAGGUGCUGCUGUCACUGAAGAACUCAUUCCCGGUUUCAAGUUUUCUCGUUGCAGUUACCUACAAAGCCUCCUUAGACCCUGCGUUAUUAAAGAAUUGGAGCUGAAGAGACAUGGAUUGAAGCUACUGAAAAGGAGUCCUUCAUCAUUCACGCCUCGUCUUGACGGACGCUAUCUUCUGCUUGGUUCUGACAAGGAGCAGAACUAUUCUGAGAUUUCAAAGUUUUCUAAAUCUGAUGCUGAUGCUUACUCAAGGUAUGAGAGUCAACUCGACAAGUUCUGCGAGUUCAUGGACCCACUUCUGGAUUCGUCUACACCAGAAACUCUACAAGGCUCUUCACAACUCAAUACUCGUAUGAAGCACAA